GAUGAACGCUGGCGGCGUGCCUAAUACAUGCAAGUCGAGCGAUCAGACUAGGUGCUUGCUCCUCUUUGGUGAGCGGCGGACGGGUGAGUAACACGUGGAGAACCUGCCUUUAAGCGGGGGAUAACAUCUGGAAACGAAAGCUAAUACCGCAUAAUAUCUUUAACCAUAUGUUUUAAGAUUGAAAGAUGCAUUUGCUUCACUCAAUGAUGAUCCCGCGUUGUCUUAGCUUGUUGGUAAGGUAAAGGCCUACAAAGGGAAGGAUACGUAGCCGACCUGAAAGGGUGACCGGCAAAACGGGAACUGGGCACGGGCCCAACCUCCUACGGGAGGAGGAAUAAGGGAAUUUUGCGAAAUGGGGGAAAGCCUGACGGAGAAAGGCCGGGUGAGUAAUGAAGGUCUUCGAAUGUAAAACCCCUGUUAUAGGGGAAGACGAUAUGUGGAAGUGAAAACGCACCAAGUGACGGUAACUACUCAGAAAGGGACGGCUAACUACGUG
rnacentral:rRNA from 1 species